rnacentral:rRNA from 1 species
ACGACCACCCAGGGCCGGAAAGUUGGUCAAACCCGGUCAUUUAGAGGAAGUAAAAGUCGUAACAAGGUCUCCGUAGGUGAACCUGCGGAGGGAUCAUUA